rnacentral:rRNA from 1 species
AGCCAGGAGGUUGGCUUAGAAGCAGCCACCCUUUAAAGAGUGCGUAACAGCUCACUGGUCAAACGCUCUUGCGCGGAAAAUUCAACGGGGCUUAAACACACCACCGAAGCUACGGACCCGAAAGGGUGGUAGGAGAGCGUUCUGUAGGAGAUACAAGGUCGACCGAAAGGACGGCUGCGGCCUACAGAAGUGAGAAUGCCGGCAUGAGUAGCGCAAAACAUGUGAGAACCAUGUUCCCCGUAAACCUAAGGUUUCCGACGGAAGGUCAGUCCGCGUCGGCUUAGUCGGGCCUUAGCCGAGGCCGAAAGGCGUAGGCGAUGGACAUCCGGUUAAUAUUCCGGAACCACUCAAGUGGAGCGAUGAAGGGACGCGGCGUGGUAGGUCAGCCUCUUAACGGAUUGAGGUGCCAAACGCGUAGGACGUUGAAGGGUGUAGGUAAGUCCGCACCCCGAGUCCGAAACGUGAUGGCGGUGCCUUAGAGCCACAAGUGAUUGAGCCAUGCCGCCUAGAAAAGCUUCUAAGCGUUGAUAUUUGAGUGACCGUACCGCAAACCGACACUGGUAGGUGGGUAGAAUAUACCAAGGGGAGCGAGAGAACCCUCGUUAAGGAAUUAGGCAAAUUUCCCCCGUACGUUCGCAAUAAGGGGGGCCUCUGGUGGUGAGCUUAAUCGCAAAGCUGCUGGAGGCCGCAGAGAAAUGGCUCUUCCAACUGUUUAACAAAAACACAAGUCUCUGCUAAGUCGAAAGACGAAGUAUAGGGGCUGACGCCUGCCCAGUGCUGGAAGGUUAAGGGGAGAGGUUAGGCGCAAGCCGAAGCUUUGAGCCGAAGCCCCAGUGAACGGCGGCCGUAACCAUAACGGUCCUAAGGUAGCGAAAUUCCUUGUCGGGUAAGUUCCGACCCGCACGAAUGGCGUAAUGAGAGGAGCACUGUCUCAACGAGGGACUCGGCGAACAUUGAAGGACGUGUGAAGAUACACGUGACCCGCAGCGGGACAAAAAGACCCCGUGAAGCUUUACUACAACUUGCCAUUGAGUUAGGGCUAAACCUGUGUAGUAUAGGUGGGAGGCUUUGAAGCUGGGACGCCAGUCUCGGUGGAGCCACCGUUGAAAUACCACCCUGGUUUAUUCUUGGCUCUAACCUGUCGCCGUUAUCCGGCAUGGGAACAGUGGCUGGUGGGUAGUUUGACUGGGGCGGUCGCCUCCGAAAGCGUAACAGAGGCGCCCAAAGGUUCCCUCAGGCUGAAUGGAAACCAGCCGUUGAGUGUAAAGGCACAAGGGAGCUUGACUGCAAGACCAACAAGUCGCGCAGGGACGAAAGUCGGGCUUAGUGAUCCCACGGUUCAGAGUGGAAUGGCCGUGGCUUACCGGAUAAAAGCUACUCCGGGGAUAACAGGGUAGUCUGGUCCAAGAGUUCAUAUCGACGACCAGGUUCGCCACCUCGAUGUCGGCUCAUCACAUCCUGGGGCU